ACCUUAAAAAAAAAAAUCACCUAUCUCCCAAAUAAAGUCACACUUUUAGGUACAAGGGGUUAGAACUCAACAUGUGAAUUUAGCAGACACACUUCAGCCAUAACACCUACCUGCCUGAACUUGACAUUCUUUCCUCCACUCUCAGGUCCUUGAGUCCAUUUUCCCUGAAGAUCACUGGGCCCAGAAGAGAGACUCUGGCAGAACCAUUCACAGCCUGUUGAUGCAAUGACCACCUCCAGCUGCUGGCGAGGGGAGUUCUUGGCAACUGAAAGUGAAGCCAGGAGAUUGGAAACAGCUCAACGUGCUGAUCUGAGCCGACCACUUCGGGGGCUCCAGAGCGGAAUGUAGGUCGUGCUGAGUGAGGUCCCACAGGGGACUCUACAUCAUACAUCAUCCCUGAGAGAGGAAUGUUCAUGGUGUGCUCUUCUAGAAUUUUUUUUUUAAUUUUUUUUUCAACGUUUAUUUUUGGGACAGAGAGAGACAGAGCAUGAACAGGGGAGGGGCAGAGAGAGAGGGAGACACAGAAUCGGAAACAGGCUCCAGGCUCUGAGCCAUCAGCCCAGAGCCCGACGCGGGGCUCGAACCCACGGACCGCAAGAUCGUGACCUGGCUGAAGUCGGACGCUCAACCCACUGCGCCACCCAGGCGCCCCUAGAAUUUUUUUUAUGUAUAUGCAUCUGUUGACACAUACAGGUAUAUGACUUUUAUUUUUCUACACAUACUAGAUUGUGCUAAACAUAUCGUUCUGAAAGCUGCUUAAUGUUGAGUCAGAAACAUCUUCCAUAUCAACAGACGUAACACUGCUUCACCCUCCUUAGCAAAUGGAGUUACCACUGUAC
rnacentral:lncRNA from 1 species